AGUCACUGACAUUAGAUACCCGGGUAGUCCCAGCCGUAAACAAUGUGCGUUAGGUGUGUCGGUAACCACGCGUUACUGAUGCGCCGAAGAGAAAUCGUGAAACGCACCACCUGGGAAGUACGGUCGCAAGGCUGAAACUUAAAGGAAUUGGCGGGGAGCACCACAACAGGUGGAGCCUGCGGUUUAAUUGGACUCAACGCCGGGAAGCUCACCGGAUAGGACAGCAGAAUGAUUGCCGGGCUGAAGACCCUGCAUGACUAGCUG
rnacentral:rRNA from 1 species